UGGUGACUAUGGCGAGGGGGAUCCACCUGUUCUCAUUCCGAACACAGAAGUUAAGCCUCUCAGCGCCGAGGAUACUUAGGGUGCAGACCCUUGGGAAAUUAGGUCGUUGCCA
rnacentral:rRNA from 1 species